CGGCCCGCCGGGGAGUGGGGCCUCUUGACUUUUCCCUCCUUUUUUUUUCCUCAUUCCCAUCUUUUCUGGAGAAGUGGUGUGUGUGUGUGUGUGUGUGUGUGUGUGUGUGUGUGUGUGUGUGUGUGUGUGACUGGGUUUUUAAAAUUCGUCUCCACUUUUCUGGGAGCUAGGGAGGGGAUGGGAGGAGGAGCGCGCCUGGAGGUGGGGGAGGACCUGAGUGGAACCAGAUGUGGCAGGCGGCGGGGGAGGGGAGCUGAGGCACCGGGGCCUGGGAGGGAGAGGGAGGGCUGGUGACUACUCGUGUCUCGGUCACCCGGACCCCCGGCGCCCUCCCGGCGCUGGUCUGGGUACCUUGAGAUACAACCGGAGAGCCAGAGGCGCAUUGUUUCUUAGUCUGUACGUGAGGGGUCAAUCGUCUGUUCAGUGUCUGGCAGUGGGGUCUUUUUGUUUUCUUACUUGGUCUUCAAGGACAGCUUGUAGCAGAGGACUUUUGCACCGUUCGAUCGGAACCCUGUGGAACAGUUUUGUGCCAGGAGGACCGAGCGCGUGUGCGUCUGUGUGUUCGUGUGUGUGUGUGUGUGUGUGUGUGUGUGUUCGUUCGUGUUCGUUUCCUCACUUUGUGUGGUCAAUUCUGGCCAAACUGGCACUUCUCCAAAGUGGACAAUCUUUGAUGCAAAAGAGUUUCUAAAGAUGCAAACCAACAACCCACAGAAAGCCAACCACACAAACCCCCAAAACUAUACCCUUCUCUUUUCUGUAUAUUUUUGUUGUUGUUCUCUUUUCUUUUUUGUUUUUGUAUUUUUUUGAACUAACUGAAAUGUGAGGUCAGACAAGUCCCUCGCCAAAAAGCUCAACACUGAUAAACAUUAAUGGGGUAGAUCUUGGGGGAUGGGGGCGCUUGGAAUUUUUAAAACCGUGCCGAGUGCUGCCUCCACGUCCCCUUUUUAUGUUUAAUCGGGGGCUGAGUGAGUGGAAAGGGACGGAACCGCAGCUGCAGCUUUGUGCUAGGACUAGAGGGCCCCCAGAAGAGUCUGAGGCCUUUACGGUGGCCUGGUGUGCUGAGGGCAUUUGCUGAGGGGAAAGGCUCCACCGACCUUCCCUCCCACCUAGACCUGAAGCCUGCAUAGACAAGAAGCAAGCCAGAGAGCCUUGCAGCUUCGGAGCACACAGCCUGCCUGUCCCUUACCUCCGGCGUUCCUGCCAGAGUCUUACUCCCUCCUCUGUAGACAGAGGAUGCGAGGGAGGAGGGAAGGGAUGGCCAAUUCUAAGAGAUGUAGCUUGGGUUUUAAAGCCAGGCCCAGGGAAAGAGCUGGGCCAGAGUGCUGACUUGGUCUUUUCCCCCAGGGAGCUUUUGACAGGGGGUGGAGAUGCCUGAUGAGAGGCCCAGUUGGGGAGGAAAAGGAGGCUUUCUGUGUCCCUGUGCUUCCUGGUCUCCCUACUCUCUCAGACUGUCUGUUGUGUGGCCUGGAUCACCCACCCCAGCCCUGAGGAGGCCCGGCCUGGACUUACACAUCUGUGGACUGAGGGACAAGCACAGCAGGGUAAAAAUCCCACAACUUCGCUGUCACUGAACAAACACGACACUGACCCCUUGGCCUUGGGUUCUCCUACCCAUACCCUGCCAACUUCCAUGGGUCCCUUAUCUGGCUGGGAAGCUGGGUUAGAUGUCACUGGCAUGGGGAACCUUGGCUCUAGAAAGAAGUGCUUAUGGGAGGUGGAGGGAGAAUGGGGGUGAGGGGACAGGCAGCUUCCUCAUCACCAGCAGGAAGCCCAGUGGGCUCUGGAUGAAGAAUGGCAGCUCUUCUUGGGGAUCAGAGGUGAAAGGACUGAAGGAAUUCCUAAUGUAGGAUGCCAGAAUUCUGCGACUCCAUAAAAUGUGCUUUCGCUGUGUUGCUGGUCUCCAUGUGCACAGCACUGAGCCAAGUGAUUCAGAAGAGUUAGGAUGCGUCUCUCAGGAGAAUGACUCAGGUCGAUCCGUUCGUGUGGGGUAGAGGCUCUGAGGGUGAGUGUCCUCUCAACCCGGAAGCCCUGUCAAGUGCUCAGCAUCCAAUUUCUCAUUGAAUUCUGAUAAUAACCCAAAGAGGUAGGUAUUACUGGACCCAUUUCUGCAGAGUACAAAAUAGAGUCUUAAGAGGAGUCUGGUGAUUUAUUUUGGACACAUCUAGAAAGUAAAAGGCUAGGACCAAGGACGGUAAAUGACCAGAAAUAGAGGCAAACAUGUGGUCCAGGGAGGAGAGAGCAGGAAGGGCUGAAGGGUAAGCAGGUCAGGAUGGUGAUGGCAGUGCCCCUGAAUAUUUUGUAGAAGUGUCCUGGGUCUCUGAAGGAAAAGGAGAAGGACACUGGCCAGAUGCCCGUAAGGCCGAGAUGAAGAUGCCACCUGUGGGUUGGUUGUGGCGCUCUAAGGUGCUGGAGGUUUCCUAGCACAAAAGGGAGCCGUGGGUUAGAAUAGAGGGAUCUGCUGUCUAGGUGGAGCAAUGAGGAAACCUCGGGCAGUCCUCCUGCGGGGAAGGACUUCUGUCUAAAAGUCAUACAAAGAUGGCUGGCAUUCCCUCUGAGAAGUGUCAGGUUCUAUCCCUGCUGCCAGAGUAAUUGGACAAACCACUGCAUGUUAACCAGCUCCUGACCAGGCGAAAAGACCUGAGCACUGUCCUCCUCAAUAAAACGCCACCUACCUGGCUCAGGCAAGCUGCCAGGAUCGCCGUGCUCCUCCAGGGUCUCCGUGCUCCUCCAGGGUCUCCGUGCUCCUCCAGGGUCUCCGUGCUCCUCCAGGGGCUUGGGACAAAGUAACAGCAGUAAACGCCCUUCCUUGUUUCUUCCGUGGUGGUUCCUCAAAUCUCUUAUCCCUGGGAGGAUCUCAUCUCAGCCCCUGGGAGUCAAAUGUUAGAGCUGCUCUUGGUUUGUCAAGACCACACCACUAGAGAGCAGUGAACAGGACUCCAUUGCAGGUGCGGCCAGAGCGUCUAAACCUCGCAGCACCAAACAGAAGCACUGCAGAAAGCAGGAGCAUUGCCUGGGACCCCAAGCCCACAGUUACCCUGUGUGUUAGCGUGCUUGUCACUGACUCAGUUGCCUCAUCUAAACAACCUAGGGGAAGAGGGGUUUACUUUGGCUCUAGACUUAGAGACUUCAGCCUGAAGUCAGCUGGUUUUAUUGCCCUAAGCCUGAGGAGGCAGAAGCAUAACAAAAGGGUAAUGGCUGCAAAGGAAGGCAGCCAGGAAGACAGAGAAGCACAAAGGACAAGGUAUAUACUUCAAAGACAAGUUUCCAGUGUCCUCCUCCUUCCAACCAGACCCUACUUCCUGGUUGCCCAAUAAUACCAUUAAGACCCGGUCACUGGAGCAGUUCAUCCAUUAGGUUAAAGCCUGUAUGAUCUAAUCAAAAGACUAACUCCAAGCAGUGUACUGAAGACCACGCUUUUAUACCCAAACAGAACACCCACCCACGUGUCCUGACAGUGAAGAAGAGAGGGGAUGGGAGUUUUCUGUUGUCAGUUAUUGGAGUGCUUGGUUCUCAUACAUCUCCAUGGGGCCCAGAGGCAGAGACUAAGUUUCCUCCUCCUUCCCUUGGGCCCUUAGGAUGUUCCCCUCCAAAGAGGCCUUGGUAAAUAAUUGCCGAAAGCCUGAAGAAGCUGCAGCCGGGCACCCCAGUUCACGGAGGUGGGAUUUCAUUCACAUAGCCAAUUGUUCAUCCACUCCUCAUGUUUCCCGACCCUGUACAGUGACGAGAUCAAGAUGACUAAGACCUGUUCCUCCAGGCUGAGCGGUGGUGGUGGCAGCGGCAGGCAGCGCGCACACAUUUAAUCCCUGCACUCUGAAGGCAGAGGCAGGCAGACCUUAGUGAGGACAGACAGGGCUACACAGAGAAACCCUGUCCUGAAAAACCAGAUACAUAGAUAGAUACAUAGGUAGGCAGGCAGGCAGGUAGGCAGACAGACAGACAUUCUUCCUUUAAGUCUAACUCCCUGCCCUGCACCUCCAUGGUGGUCUCCCUGGAUUUGGGGGGCUUCAGUGUCACUGACAGGAAAAGUAUCUUUUUAGUCCUUCACAAGAUGAGGAGAGUCCUAUAAAUCUGGGUGGAAUGAGCCACUGGAAUGGCGGCACAGCUCUUAGAAGUCACCCUGAGCUCUGUAGAUUCUAGUUACUCCUCAGAAGGCUAGAGGAGCUGCACAGUGACAUCUAUGGCCCAGGAAAUGCUGGGGACAGCCAGCUCCAACCGCCCAGGAAGUAGACUGGACUGCUUCCUCCAGACGGCAGGCUCACCAUGGGUUGCAGCGGGAGCCCUAAUUGUUGGUUCCCGUCUACACUUAGUCUUAGGGCCACCCUCCUCUCUCUAUACCUUCGGAGUACAGAUCCCCGGAGCUGGAGAGAUGCCCUGUGGUUAACGGGACUUGGUUUUGAUUCCCAUCACCCACAUGGCAGCUUGCAACCGUCUGUUGCUCCAGUCCCGGGAAUCUAACGCCUCUUAGGGCACCAGGAAUACACAUGGUGCACAGACAUACACGUAAGACAAAGCACCCAUAUUCCUAAAUAUUAAAUUAUACUAAAAAAUAAAAGUGCAGACCCCCCACUGACUUGACCCGUGCUUUCUGACGGCCUCCGCCCACUUUGGUUCCUCUGGCUGUGUGGUACCCCUCCAGGAGACAGCUGUGAAACUUUAGCUGCUCCAGCGUCUUGGCCCCAAGCCUCCUCUAUCACCUUCCCAGCAUGCUCUGCUCCACACUCCCUGAGUCCUUCCCACUACCAGACCUUUGCUCACCGUACCUUCUACCAAGUAGGUCCUUCCUUUCCUUGGCCUUCCCGGCUUCUCCUGAGCUUCCCUUCAAGACUCUAGUAUCUUAAGAGUACCUAGGAGGGGGGUUGGGGAUUUAGCUCAGUGGUAGAGCGCUUGCCUAGGAAGCGCAAGGCCCUGGGUUCGGUCCCCAGCUCUGAAAAAAAAAAAAAAAAAAAAAGAAUACCUAGGAGGUAAGGCUACUCCUAACCCACAACGAUAAACCUUAGAACAGCGAAAGGCCACGCCUCUUGGAUUUCUCAGGAAGCGGGUCGAAAUGUUGUACCCGCGAUGAUUGUGUUGGUCUUUUUAUCGCCGUGAUAAACACCUGACACAAAAAGGGGGACGUUACUUUGGUCAGCAGUUUCAGGGGACCAACCUGUGGUCCCAUGGUCUAGUUGUUUUGAAUCUGAGGCAAGGUCAAAAGUCAGGGCGGAGGACCUGAUGGAAAACUACCAACCUCGUGGCAGCUGGAAAAGCAGAAGAGAGCCAGGACAAGGGGCAACUUCCUUCAGCAAGACUCCGCUUCCAAUAGGUUAUCAGGAGGGUGGAUUCAGCAAGAAUCAAUCCAUUGAUUAGGUUUGGGACCUCGGUGUCUUAGCAAUUCCCCAACACCCAUAAGACUGUAACACAUGAGCCUUGCCGAACAGUUUAAGUUCAAGCCAUGUAGUUUCCAGAGGGAAACUCUAAGCCAGCUUUCUCUGAUCCCUGAGGGGUGUUUGAAAGGGUCAUUGGUGUGGUCUAUUAUAGACUGAGGCAGGGAGUGGGUUGGUCUAGCGUGUGUCCUUUCUCCCUCAAUCCUCCGGACUUAGUAAUGGAGAAGAAUCCGUAGACAAGAAUUAAUUGGAAGGCUGUGUGAGCUCAGGCGCUGCUGUCUUCCUUUGGCAGGCAAGCAAAAGAACACUCCACCUCGUAGGGUGUUGCGUGAGAGUCACACACAAGUCAGAUAACGGAUGUCUGAGAUACACACCUCGUGCUAUUAGUAUCCUAAGUUACUGCUGUUUUUAUUACUAAUAAGAAAGAAGGGGUUGGGGAUUUAGCUCAGUGGUAGAGCGCUUGCCUAGGAAGCGCAAGGCCCUGGGUUCGGUCCCCAGCUCCGAAAAAAGAACCAAAAAAAAAAAAAAAAAAAAAAGAAAGAAAGAAAGAAAGAAAACCCACUCCUACUCUCUUGCUCUUAUCCUCUUCCCCUUUUGUCCCUUCACUCCCCAUUCCCUUCCCCCCCUCUCUCCACAUGCAUGGCUGGCCUCUACUCCUCUCCCUCUCCCUCUCCCUCUUUCCCACCUUCCCUCUCUCUGUCACUCUCCCUCCCUCCCUCUAUCUCUCAGCCUUUCUCUACUACCCUCUUAACUCCCCUCCUCAUGCCCUGAAUUGUAUAUUCUAUACUAAUACAAAACAAACAAACAAAAAAGAAGAAAGAAAACCCAAGAAUAUCAAGGGGCUUAAAUGACAACACAGUCCUCAAUACCCUCUGCCCUGGGCUGGAGAGAUGGCUCAACACAUUUAAAGGCACUCACUGCUCCCUGUAGAGCAUCCAGGUGUGGUUUCCAGCACCCAUGUCAGGUGACUCACAACCAUCUGUAGCGCCAGUUUCCAGGGGCAUCCAGUGUCCCUUUCAGGCUUCCACGGGCGCCCAUGUGGUAUCCACACAUACACACAUACAUGCAGGCAGGCACUCAUCCACAUAAAGUAAAAAUAACUAAAGCCACUGUAAGAAGGGGUAAAGUGAGAGUUUUGGUGGGUUGGUUGUGGGUUUUGGCUUUUUGAGACAAGGUUUUUCUGUGCAGCCCUGACCAUCCUGAAACUCACUCUGUAGAACAGACUGGCCACAAAAUCACAGAAAUGCCCCUGCCUCUGCUUUUGGGGUGCAGGGUUUUAAGGCCAUGCUCUGCCUUACUUUUCGAGGCAGUGUCUCUCACUGAACCUGCAGUUCACCAUUGGCUAGGCUAGCUGACCAGUGUCCCUGCCCUGUCCCUCCCUGCUCUGGAUGGCGCUCUGGAUGGCGCUCUGGAUGACGGGUGUACCACCACUCCACAGCCAGCUUUUUACAUGGGCAUCAGGUGUCCAAACUUGGAUCCCCGGCUUGGGCAGCAAGCUCUUUACUCACUGAGCCAUGUCCAAAGCCCCAGGAUCCUUUGCCUUUGGUUCCACUAAAAGCCUAGAUGCACCUCAAAACCAAGUGACUUUCUAAAAGUACGUGUAAACCACAUUGGGAAGGGCGUCACCCCACCCUUAGUGGCUCUGCCUACCUCAGGUCCUUGUUUACCACACUCACUUCUGCAUGGUUUCACUUCCUUCGUGGAGCAUUUUGCAGCCACGGAGUGUGUCGUGCUGCCCACAAAAGCCACCCUAGUUGCUUUCCUCAGCAUCCAUGACACCAGCUUCCUGCAGAUCUGUCUCUCCACCUAGCUCAUACCUGAGCAUGCAUGCCCCAGGCUGGACACAGCCUUCAGCAAGAAGCCUCCAGAGCCUCUGAUAUUUCCAGCUGCCACCUUCCCCAGCCUUUGUGUGGCUAGUUCUCUCCUGCCUCUCUCAGCAGGAUGUUUGGUUGGGGGACAGUGUGGGGCCGUGUUCCUGGGAGUCUCUGAGGGCCUCGAGCAUUCUAAGCAUAUACUUCUGCCUGGGAGCUACAUCCCAGCUCUUUAAUCCUUGCACGGGUUCAAUGCCUGGGACACGGUGGCAUUUAGGAAAUAUUUAUUGAGUUGGAAACAAUGAAAGCAAGCAGACAAGUGUUCCAAAGACAAUAAGGGACGUUUUAGAUGAUGUCAUGAUCAUGAAAAACAGAUGGCAUCAGGCUAAGUCAACAGUAGAAAGUCCAAUGGAGGAGGGUAAUCCCCAGAAUUUAGAGCUUUAAGCUGUUGUAAAAAUGUAAUGUCAGGCACACCAGAAACAGCACUUAGAUAGGAAAUGAGCUUUUUACUUUUAAAUGCAGUUGGGAUAACUGGAGUUUACAAUGAGAAAACGCUAGGGGCCAGCAGUUCAGUAGUGGGGGACAUGGUUAGUGUACGUGAGGCUGUGGGUGCUGGGAGUAGGGAUUUCAGUAGUGGAAGACACGGUUAGUGUAUGAAAGGCCCUGGGUUCAACCCCCUGGCUCUGCACCUCGCACCAAAAAAAAGAAAAAGGAAAUUUAAUUUCAGUUUGCAGCUAAUCAUUCCUGAAGAAAUUCAAAUGAUGAGCUGUCAUGUAGAAGGUACAAAGGCAACGAGAAAUUCAAUUGGCUCUUGGAGCUGGAGAGAUGGCUCAGUGGUACUGACUGCUGUUGUAGAGGACCCACGAAGAAAGCUAUUGAGGAAGAUGCAAUAUGAAUCCGUGGUUUGUAAAUGUACACAUACAUGUUCACACACACACCCGUGUGCACAUACCCAAAACAGUCAGGUGCUCACUAGUUCUAUUUUUAUGUGAGAUUUAUUUUUUUUAAGAUUUAUUUAUUUAUUUUAUGUAUGUGAGUACACUGUCGCUGUCUUUAGACACACCAGAAGAGGGCAUCGGAUCCCAUUCCGGAUGGUUGUGAGCCACCAUGUGGUUGCUGGGAUUUGAACUCAGGACCUCUGGAAGAGCAGUCAGUGCUCCUAACCGCUGAGCCAUCUCUCCAGCCCUUAUGUGAGAUUUAUAAAGUGCAUUUCAUUCAAAGAAAAAGAGAAGUAGCUGGGCAGUGGUGGCGCCACCUUUAAUCCCAGCACGCAGGUGGAGAGGAGGAGGAGGGGGAGGAAGGGGAAGAAAGGAAGGAAGGAAGAAAGAAAGGAAAGAAAGGAAGAAACAAACAAAGAAAGAAAGAAAAAGAAAGGUAUCACACUGCUCCGAGAUCUCUAGUAGGAACAUGAACACCUGCCUGGUAGCUAAGAGACACCUCUAAAAUCCAUAGAAAAACGCAGAUGGUGUAUUAGAGAGUGAACACACACAAAAUUGGUUCUGUGUGAAUGAGCUCCCAUUUCACGCAGCAGCUUGCAAAGAGGAGGAUCCAAAGGACAUACUAGUUCUCAGGUUGUGGUUACACAUGAAAAUAUCUAUACUAGAUAGUUUUGUCAACUUGACACAAGCUAACGUUACCGGAGGAAGGAGCCUCACUUAGGAAAAUGCCUCAGUGAGAUCCUGACAAGUGUGAAGGGCAGUGGUUGUAAACCUGUGGCUCUCAACACUUUGGGGACACAUAUUAGACACCCUGCAUAUUAGAUAUUUACAUUUUAUGAUUCGCAACAGGUAAAUUUACAGUUAUGAAGUAGCAACAAAAUAGCUUUAUGGUUAGGGAUCCCCACAGCAUAAGGAAGAGUAUUAAAGGGUUGCAGCAUUAGGAAGGUUGAGAGCCACUGCUUUAGGGCAUUUUCUUUUUUUUUUUUUUUUUCCUUUUCUUUUUUUUCCGGAGCUGGGGACUGAACCCAGGGCCUUGAGCUUGCUAGGCAAGUGCUCUACCACUGAGCUAAAUCCCCAACCCCGGGCAUUUUCUUAAUUAGUGAUUGAUGGGAGAGAUGUUUGUUGUUUUUGGUUUUUGGGGUUUUUUGUUUGCUUGUUUGUUUGUUUUGUUUUUUAGUGUGCAUGUAGUUCAUGUUUGGAUUUUCCAGUUGUCCCAUUGUGUUACUUUUGUUCGUUUGUUUUUAUUUUUUUUUAAAAAAGAUUUACUUAUUUAUUAUAUGAGUAUACUGUAGCUGUCUUCAGACACACCAUAAGAGGGCAUCAGAUCCCAUUACAGAUGGUUGUGAGCCACCAUGUGGUUUCUGGGAUUUAAACCAGGACCUCUAGAAGAGCAGCGAGUGCCCUUAACCUCUGAGCCAUUUUCCAGCCCUUGUUUUUAUUAUUUUUUAAGCCUUUCUAUGUAGCCUUGGCUGAUCUGGAACUCGGGAACUCACAGCCUCUGCUUCCCGAAUGCUGAGAUUAAAGGUACCACCCCACCCAACUUUUUGGUUGGUUUGGCGUGAGGUCUCAUCUCACUGUGUAACCUGGCUGGCUUCAAAGUUCCCAUCCUCCUACCUCCCUUCUGAGAGUUCAGACAGUAGGUGUUUGUCACCACACAAAACUCCCACUAAUAUUUUUUCUUUUUCUCCUUCUGUUCAUUUCUUCCUCCCUUCCUCCCUUCCCCUUUCUUUCCAGACUGGAUCUUGCUAUAGAGGCUGAAUUCACCAUGCGGUCUAAGAUGGCCUUGAAUUCACAGUAAUCCUCUGCAUCCCAGUAAGGUAUUGUUUUGAGAUUGGCUCCCAUGUAGCCCAGGCUGGCCUCAAAACCUGUUGGGAUGACCUUCAAUCCUCCAGUUACCGGCAUGCGCCCCUGGAGACCAACCCCAGGGCCUUGUGUUAGAUAAUAGAUAAGCACUCUACCAACUGAACCAUGUCCCCAGCCCCCGUUAAUGGUUUUAAAGACUGUCUUAAGUGUAGCUGUCUUGGUUCUUCAGUGUCCUUUACUCUGACGCUGUUGCUUGGCUCUUCUCUUUGUCCUGGUGCAGCAGUCCUGAGAGUUCUGGGUCAGCUGUCUUGUCUAUGCCACUCAACCCAUUCAUUACUGGAUACAUCCUAAACAUUAUUGUGGGGAAAGCUGCAUGGAUGUGUGUCCUUCCAGCGUGUCACUCUGGUGACAGUAUGUUCCCUUGUUUUGUGUGACACUGACUGAUGGCACAGAUUCUCUUCAGGCUCCUCGUACCACUCCACUCGCCAGUCACCUUUUCCUCAGUGUUUCUUGUAGAUAGCAUACGGGAUUUAAACUACAGUUAUUUAAAAAAAGAAGAAGAAGAAGAAGAAAAAGCAGAAAUGCUUCUAGCUGCAGUAUUCUUAAAAACCCAACCAAAGGGGCUGGGGAUUUAGCUCAGUGGUAGAGCGCUUACCUAGGAAGUGCAAGGCCCUGGGUUCGGUCCCCAGCUCCGAAAAAAAAGAACCAAAAAACAAAAACAAACAAACAAACAAAAAACAAAAAAACCCAACCAAGUAAGGCGGUGGCGCUUGGGAGGUAGAAGCAGGCUGAUCUCUGGGAGUUCAAGGUCAGCCUGGUCUACAGAGCGAGUUUCAGGACAGCCAGAGAGACACAGAGAAACCCCGUCUCAAAACAAACAAUCAAAGAGCCCAAACUAUUAGCCUCCAGUGAAAACUCCCCAAGUAGCCCUCGACCAUAGAAUGGGUGGCUCGGAACUUCACACAGUCGGGUAUCACAGUGCACAGCAGUGAAUGAACAGCCCACAGUUUCCUGCAGUGGUGUGGGUGAAACUGGAACGUGCUAACCCAGAUGCUGAACCGUACAUAUGACCCCCACUUCUAUCAAACACUGAAAACCAACUCGGGAAAGUAGGCAGAACGGAUAAUCUGUGUUUCCGUAGUAACAAGCGUGGGGGAAGAACCAGAGCAAGGGUCUGCCUUUAAAUAAAGCCCAGAAGAACAAUGAAUAAGAGAUUUCUGUAGGACGCGAGGUAACUAGUUUGUAACCUGACGGGCAGUUUCUAGCGCCGCUGAGGUUCCUGAGAUCACAGCGGGGGAAGACCGUGAAAAAUGUAAUCAGUUCAGUCGCUCACACGCAUAUGAGUCAGUGAACAAACAAAAGCCAAACAGUGCCCGGUAAACCUACAGAGAACGACUAGCACUCAGAAAGCAAAGGUUCAGUACCUCAGGAGAGCGCCUUCCCAGCAUGCACUGCUGUAAUCCCACUACCUGGGAGGCGGAGGCAGUGAGUCAUCCGCCCAAGGGCAUCUCCUGCUGCUAGUCUGGGGCUAGUCUAUGGUGAACGAGACCCUGUCUGUCUGUACGUCUCAAGAUGGUUUCAACAAAGACCACCACAGUAAUACUCAGCAAAAGUCAAAUGUUGGAGAAAGCACUUAAUAUUGUCUCUGACCGAUGUCACAGCUGAGCCGUGCAGCCUGUAAAGCACCGGUUGUCUCUUUGGUGGAUACGGAGAGAGCUAUGGUUUACCACUGCUACCUAGCGUGGACAGAGAACCAGAUCACACGCUGCCCACCAGGAAAACAUGAAAAGUCAAAAUUCAACGAGUGUCUUUUACUGUAUUAAAGUUGAAAAUCUUAAGUUGGGCGUCACAAGUCAGUUCAAUGUAGCAUUUAUGAUUAAGGAGUUGUACUUGGACUGGAGGGAUGGCUCAGCGGUUAAGAGCAUCCACUGCUCUUCCAGAGGUCCUGAGUUCAAUUCCCAAUAACCACCUGGUGGCGCACAGCCGUCUGUAAUGGGAUCUGAUGCCCACUUCUGGUGUUGCCUGAAGACAGCUACAGUGUACUUACAUAGAAUAAAUAAAUAAAUCUUUUUUUAAAAAAAAAGUACUUGUUUUUCAAAAACAAAGAAAUUAUACUUAUUAAAUCAGGUGUAAUACACACAGCUUUGAUCCCAGCACUUUGGAGGCUGAGGCAGAGGUGGGCCAAUUUAUUCAAUUUAAAGCUGACCGACCUGACUACAGGUAAGCCAGGGCUACAUAUUGAGGCCCUGUCUAAAAUAUUAAUAAUAAUGAUAAUAAUGAUUUUUAUGAAGUAAUAGCUAAGGAAUAAGUGAUAUAUGGUGUAUCGAUCGCACCGGAAGGUAUUUAGCAUAUAUAUAUAUAUAUAUAUAUAUAUAUAUAUAUGAAUUCAAUGUAUAUGUAGGCAUGAUAGACAGCCAUGCCACACAAGCAUGAGGUCAGAGGGCAGCUUGUUGAAGUCCGUCCCCGCCUUCUGCCAUGUGGUGUCUGAGGGUCAAAUUCAGAUUAUCUGCCUUGCCUUUUCCUAUGGCUCUGAAGCCCAAAUUUUGGUAUAAAAAUGGUUUGACUUACACACACACACACACACACACACACACACACACACACAAGUAUUUUAGAAGGCAGUACUUUGAGUGAAGAAUGAAAUGGAACCAAGAGUCUAGAACGUGUGGUUUAUACUUGUAUAUUAUGUCCCUACAUAUGUGUAAUUAUAUUGGGUAUUUAGGGGAGAUAAGGUAAUAAAAUGCCACCCAAAUUUAACAGUGUCUCGCACACUAAACUGAAUUACAUGUUAUUUAGGAGCCGUGAUUACUAUGAAAGGGUUUUUCCUUAAACACAUCUGCAUUUUAGGUCAAAGGGUGGCAGCUGCCAUUCUGCCAACUGUGCAGUCACAUGAUCCAAGAUUCCCAACAGCUCUUCCUUUCUCCCCCUAAUGCAUUCACGCGUCAGGUCCAAACCUGCAGCACAUGGCUCUACGGAGCCAGCCAGAACUUGAGCUGCUCCCAGACUAUGCCCCUUAUUUAAAAUUUUUCAUUUCAUUUUAUUAUAUUUCAUUUUCAUUUUAUUAUAUCUGACUAUACAGUGUAGUAUUUCGCCUGCAUGGCGCUGUGUAUCUGCUGGAUGUCUGCAGGGGUCAGAAGAUGAUAGCAUUGGACUUCCUGAAACCGGAGUUUGUUUUUCUCAUGGCUGCUCGUGGAUUUCUCCUAUUUGCUGUCUACUUCAAUGUUUUAUGAGGUUGUUUUUGUUUGUUUGUGUUUGAGACAGGUUUCACUAUGUAGCCCUGGCUGGCCCGGCAGUCUUUAUGUAGACCGAGCUGGUCUUGAAUUCACAGAAAUCCACCUAUGAGGGUCUCCUGGGUACUGGAAUGAAAGUGUGGGCUCCCAUGUCCAGCUUACAUUCUUUUUUCCUGGAAAGCAUCUGUUUCUUCACGUCUCCCCCUACACCUUGCCCAUCCCCCACUUUAGGGACCAGGUUCUGACUAUAUAGCUCAAGUUGGCCCCAGGCUCACAAUCCUCCUGCCUCUGUGUGUCUUUUUAAGUGUCUGAGAUUGCAAGUCUGUGUCAUUACACCCACUUUGGCCUCAUUAAUACCAUUCGUAAGAAGCACUUGGGUCUCAAGUUUGGCUCCCUCUCUAGGCCUUCAGCGCAGAGCUUCAGGGCUGCAGUUAACAAACUUUGAACAAAAUGGCAAAAAAAAAAAAAAAAAUCUGUCCAAAUCACAUACAUAUUUCAGGAGUAAUAAGGACAUGGAGAUCUGGAAAUGCUGGGCAGGUGUUGCAGCCCUCUCGGAAGGCAGAGACAGCUAGACCCCAGAGCAAGAUGGCUAGUUAGAUUAGCUAAAUCAGUGAGCUCUGAGUUCAAGGGAGAGGCUGUCCCUCAACAUAGAAGGUAGAGAAUGAUCCGGAAAGACAUCCACCUCUGGUCUACAUAUUCCCGUGCAUGUAUACAUCACACACACACACACACACACACACACACACACACACACACACACACACACGCACACCACACAGACGGAACAAUUCUUACGUUGUUAUUUCUAUGGAUUAUCUUUGGGGAGGGGAGGGUGUGUGUGUCAAGGUGGCCACAUGGAGAUUGGAGGACAACUUUGUGGAGUUGGUUCUUCCCUUUUCACAAACCUCAAAAGACCACCAGGGAGCCGGUUCCAAUGCCAUCACUCUAGGGGCUUUAUUCAGGCUCCAGCUCCGGCCACGCCACACGCCAUCGUCACUGACACAGCAGGACAGGAGGGGGAAGCCCUGAGUCCAGUCUCAAGCUUUUAAAGAGUCAAGCAAACCAGCGAGGGGGUUUCCAGCGAUUGGGGGAGGGGCUAUUACAGUAUUUGUUGCCCUUUAAAAGGAUUGGCUGGUGCUGGAAGCCAAACCAUAGACUUUCAUAAGUAAAUAUCUUUAGGUACAACAGUGACUUCUGCUUUCCUCCUGAUUGGUGGUUGCUAGGGAGUGACCUGGAAACCAGUGCUAGGUCCAGGCCUGGUGGUUAACUCAGCCUUAGAUCGGGUGUUCUAAGAUAGAUCCUGAACCCAAGAUGGAGUUGGUCUGGUCUCUCAGUAUCCUUUCAGUCUUCAGAAGCUUUCAAGGAACAAAAGAGAUAGCUCGGCAGGUAAGCUUGCAGAGGACCUGGGUUCAGUUCUCACACCCACAUGGUGGCUAACUGCCAUCCAUAACUCCAGUUUCAGGGGAUCUGAUGCUUUCUUCUGACCGUUUCAGACACCAGGAACACACGUGCUAUGCUGUCAUAAUUACAGGAAAACCACUGAAAUACAUGUGAGCUGCCUGGUGAGGUGCUGGGACUUGAACUCAAGACCUCUGCAAGGGGAAUGUGGCUCUCAACCUCUUAACUGCGUCUCUGCCCUCCAUUUCACAAACAUUUCAACAAUCCUUUUAAUCUUCUGAUUGUCAACAUCUGCAUCUCCUUAAUGUUCUGUGAGGAAGGGUAGCAGUUCUCUGAUCCCAGCACCAGACACAGAACAGUCUUUAGCAGCACGUGAGUGAGGGACAGCAAAGCUACUUCAGUCGGGACAGCUUCUCCACACACGUCUAUUUCAAAAACCUGUUUUUUACAUUUAUUUGUGUAUUUACGCGGCUUCAAAUUCGGGUCACAAGGCUCUCACAGCAGGCACUUAUGCCCACCGAGCCACCCCUUCCACUCACCAACGCCAUUAUUUUUAAGUUAAUAUCCCAGGCCAUGGUGCACGCCUUUGAUCCCAACACUUAGGAGGCAAAGGCAGGUAGGUCUCUUCUGAGUGUGAAGUUAGCCUGGUCUACAGAGCAAGUUCCUGGUCAGCCAGGGUUACACAGAGAAACCCUAUCUUAGAAAAGAAAAAGGAGGAAACAAAGAGGAAAAGAAAUCAAGGUUAGGAGAACGGUGAAGCUGUGAGGGCAGUGUUUUCUUAUAAAUGCUAUGGGGAGCAAAAUUAGGAAAAGGCAUCGAAGAACAUUGGGGAA